rnacentral:rRNA from 1 species
GACGAACCUUGCUAACGUUAUUCGGAAUUACUGGGCUUAAAGGGUGCGUAGGCGGUGCAGCAAGUCGGGUGUGAAAUCCCUCAGCUCAACUGAGGAACGGCGCCCGAAACUGCUGUGCUCGAGGAAGAUAGAGGUACGCGGAACUUAGGGUGGAGCGGUGAAAUGCGUAGAGAUCGGGAGGAACACCAGUGGCGAAGGCGGCCUUCUGGACCAGCACUGACACUCAAGCACGAAAGCGUGGGGAGCAAACAGG